CUUUAAUGAAUUUCCUUGGUUGUGUAACUUUCUCAUCUAAUUAAAUGUUCUUUUUUUUCUGCCUCGCUGCACGAUGGUUGUGCAGAGCUGGUUGUGAUCUAGUUUCUCACAGUUUUAUCUCCGCCGUCUGCCAUUAAACUGGGUUGUUCGUACCUUUCAGUCAAUAUUGACUCUGGUUGAGCACUUACAGUAGUUGAUGCAACAAUCUUUUUUAUUUUUUCUUAACUCUCACUCAUCUGUUCGCAGUUUCCCAAGGUCACAUGUGACAUCUCCAGCCACGCAGUAGACAAGUAACUCUUCCCUGCUCCACAUGAAGCGUGAUUCGUGCACAUUAAUCUGCAUUUAACUUUAGCGUUGAGGCCGAUAGGGGAAAGAAACGGUGGUCGUAGUGUGUGUGUGAGGGGGGGGGGUUGCAUUCCAAUACGUCUGUCUGCCAACUGCAACCAGUGUCUGGAUGCAAUCUGCUUACUUUCAGCGUGUGAUUACAUCUAGCUGCGGAACAUGUGCAAAUAAGCGCAAGUUUGUUUUUUAUCUUUUCUCACUCCGUUUCCUUGCUCCCGUGCAGCUCGAGGAUCCACCCCGGUCUGCAAACAUCGAUAACGAGGCUGCGGCAAGACUUUUUCUUUCUCACCUUGAUCUCUUUAGAAGACGCAGUGUUUUAGAACAAAUACCAGCAGCAGUGAGCUGGAGGGCGUGGAGGUCAAGUCAUUAUGGUCUGAGACCUCGCGUGUUCCUUCCUGAGACCCCGAACACGUCCCUCCACAGCAGCGGCUUCCUCUGCCCAUGAUGUCAUGGGUUCCGGACAAAGGGAAGCAGAAAGAGCUGGAAAACACUGGCUGGAGAGUUCAUACACGCAGGGAAAAUGACACAAUGAGUGCUGGUGAUGAUGCUUUAAUGAGACAAAAAGGUGUGUGUUUUCAAGUCUCCGGCCACGUCCUCUUUCCUAAAACCAUUUCCUCUAAUUUUCUCGGAUUUGUCGAAGGCCAAUGUUUUUGUUUUCCAGCUCCAGCUGCACAGAGGACAACUGUUCGGCCUCUUUUCUUUUCUCAUGAAAGCAGCCGCUGCGAAAACAAAACGUCUCCCCCCGAGGAACCAGACUUCCCCAAGCCCCUCGCAAAGUCCCAUGAUCUCUGUGAUCUAAUAAGUUGGCUGUUUUAUUUGCAAGAUGGUGGUGCACAGAGGUGCUGCAGGUUCUCAAGCUCCUGUAUUUGGAGGCCGUUUAGUUUUUAUUCUUCUUUUUAUUGUGCUGUUUUCUCAACUUUCCUUCUUUCUUAGGAACAAAAGCACAAUAAACCUUUGAAAUCUA